GAUGAACGCUGGCGGCGUGCCUAACACAUGCAAGUCGAGCGAGAAUUCUUUAGUUGAUCCUUCGGGUGAUUCUAAAGAAGGACAGCGGCGGACGGGUGAGUAACGCGUAGGCAACCUGCCCCAUACAUUGGGAUAGCCCUGGGAAACUGGGUGUAAUACCGAAUAACACUUUGAAAUGGCAUCGUUUUAAAGUCAAAACUCCGGUGGUAUGGGAUGGGCCUGCGUCUGAUUAGCUAGUUGGUAAGGUAAUGGCUUACCAAGGCGACGAUCAGUAGCCGACCUGAGAGGGUGAUCGGCCACACUGGAACUGAGACACGGUCCAGACUCCUACGGGAGGCAGCAGUGGGGAAUAUUGCACAAUGGGCGAAAGCCUGAUGCAGCAACGCCGCGUGAGUGAUGAAGGGCUUUCGGGUCGUAAAACUCUGUCCUAAAGGAGAAUAAUGACGGUACUUUAGGAGGAAGCCCGGCU
rnacentral:rRNA from 1 species